AUUUUAAGAUGUUAUAUCAUCAUAUUAUAUUUUAAAUAAAUAAUUUAUAUUUAUGAAAAUAAAUUUUAUAAAUUGAUCAAUUGAAUAUAAUUUUAUCAUAUUUAUUUUAGUAUAAUAAUCAUAUUUUAACAUGAUCAUGACUAUAAAGUAGAUAAAAUAGGAUAUAAUUUAUUUAUUUUCGUUUUUAAACGAUAACUUAAAAUACAUUAAGGUCUUCUGAAUUCGAAGAAUAGUUUAUUUCUUCUCGCCUUUUCUUCCAGAGUUGUUGUUUCCUCGAAUAUUUUGUGGAUUAUUGAAUACUGUUGUUUUGUAGGUGCAGAUUUUGGAUUUCAGGAGCCAGAUUUGGAUGAUCCUACAGAAGAUGCGCCAGAUUUGAUGACCAUGAAGACGAUCAAGAAGAUGAUGGUAGAAACGCUGACACCGAAGAAGUUACUUAUUUAGAUGAUGAAGCCUAUGCUAGAGCUCUUCAGGGAGCUUAAGAAAGGGAAACGACAGAUAGAUUGUCUAUCUUAUCUGGGUUAGCAGAUUGUGUUAAAGAUCCAGAGGAUGAGGAUCAUACUUCUCAGAACUAUCAGGAUUCAUAUUCAACUUACAACGGUCGAGAAAGCAAGUGGUGGUGGUGGUUGUGCAGAGAAUAAAAUCAAAAACAUUUGCUUCAAGAUGUUUAAAUAAGGGCAAGCUUUUGGCGAGCGGAAGAGAUCACAUUUCACCCAUGACUUUCAUGAUCCAACAACCCUAAGUAGAUCAUGAGAUGCUUACACUCAUCGAUCUUAAUUUUCCAUCGCAUAUUGAUGAGUGGAUCAGUCAUUAUUAUUGUUUCCUCUCUGUUUUGAUUUCUUUGCUCAAAAUUCACGAAUAAUUUUGGAUCCAAAGAUAAAACCAAAGCUUUUCCCCCUUAUUUUUCAUAAUCAUAUCAAACUUGGUGCUUUAGUUUCUUAUUAAACGAGUUAUAGAGAAAGAGUUCUAUGGGAGAGUUCAAUGGUAUAAAUCAACUAAAAGAACACCAUAGACAGAAAUCGUUGAUUUUAUUAACUAUCUAUUUAGAUGGAGCUUUCGGUAUGUAUUGCUGACCCGAAACCUUAUAAGAUGAUGAGAUCACCAAAGAAGAGACUUAAAAGUAAAACUAUGAACCACAACAUUCCCUUUCAUCCUUUUGUGUUGAUAUAUUUAAUUUUUUUUAUUUGACAACAUAUUUUUGAUUGUUGUACGUUACAAAAGUGUUAAAGAGUAUUUAUAUUAACAAGAUGUGACGACCAAGUUUAAUUAUAAAUCCAUAUAAAUUAUAUGGGGGCUUUUGGAUGAAUUAUAUAUCCACCUUCACUUCAAAUCUUUGAUGAAACAAACUCUUUUCAGAUGUAGAUCCUUAUGAUUCAUAGAUUAUCUUGGUGAUUAGUUAGAAAGAGUAAAACUUAUAUUUUCUAUUUUAAUUUAUUAUAAAUUUUCAGAAUCAUUAUCUGAUUUAUAUGAUUUAAAUAUACCAAAUUUAGAAUGGUGGUUUACUUAAAAAGUUUGUUCUUUAGUUUGGUUAGUUUCUGUCUUAUUUUUAAUUUUGUAAUGUGUCUCACAAAUUGGUUUUGAGAACAAUUAUAUUUUUUGUGGUCAAAAUUUUAUUCAAUUUUCUCCUUAUGAUUCUGUUUGGUUUAGAAAUAAUCGGGUUUAAAUCACCAGUUUCAACGAGAAACCAUGUGAAGAAAUUCCACAUUCUAAAAUUCCGCUGAGAUUUGAUCAAAACUAUCUUCUUUAACCAUUUUAUAUGCACCAAUCUAGCUAUUCUGAUGUAUAUCAAACCAAUAUUGAAAUUAAAUGAUUCUUUAGUCAAAACAAAAUGUAAAUAAGCUAUAAUUACAAUUAUUUUACUACAAACUCUAUAUACGCAAGAUAAAAAAUAUAUUUAGAUCAUAACUAGAGAUUAUUUUUUAGUUCAUCUUGCUCAUCAUUAUAUAUAUGAUUUCCAUUAAUGAAAAUAUAUUAAAUGUUGAGUUCAAAUCAUUUCAAAUUUGUAGGAACAAAAUAACGAAUGAUAAAAUAAUUUAAAUUUGCCUACCAAAUAAUACUUUAUAGUUAGUUCAAAUAUAUUCAAUUUUCCAACAUAAAUUUUAUUUCAAUCGAAAUAUUAAUAUAUAUAAUAUAUUCUGAUUCAAAUAAAAAUAAAUUAAAUUUAAAUAAAACCCUAGGCGUAGACCAGGACAAUCCGAACAUAAUACUAAAACAUUUAUUUUAACAAACAUGAUUUCACAAGUUUAGUUAGAAAGGUUAUAAUAUUAGUCAUUUUAUUAAUGUAUUGCAACUAAUUAUUAUUGAUCAUUUUAUUUUAAAAAUCAGGGGAAAAUGAUUGAUGGAAAAUUAUCUAAUUUGAUAGUAGACCAACAUGAGGAGAUUUUACAGAAAGAAAAAAAUUAUGAAGUCUCACGGUAU